AUUGAACGCUGGCGGCAGGCUUAACACAUGCAAGUCGAGCGAGCGGCGGACGGGUGAGUAAUGUCUGGGAAACUGCCUGAUGGAGGGGGAUAACUACUGGAAACGGUAGCUAAUACCGCAUACCAUCAGAUGUGCCCAUAUUGGAUUAGCUAGUAGGUGGGGUAAUGGCUCACCUAGGCGACGAUCCCUAGCUGGUCUGAGAGGAUGACCAGUAACAAUGGAAAUGGGACACGGUCCAGGAUCCGAAGGGGUGCAGGAGUGGGGAAUAUUGGACAAUGGGCGGAAGCCUGAUCCAGCCAUGCCGCGUGAGUGAUGACGGCCUUCGGGUUGUAAAGCUCGUUAAUCGGGACGACGGUACCGGAAUAGAAAGCCACGGCUAACUACGUGCCAGCAGCCGCGGUAAUUC
rnacentral:rRNA from 1 species